rnacentral:rRNA from 1 species
AGUAAUGUAUGGGGAUCUGCCUGAUGGCGGGGGAUAACUACUGGAAACGGUAGCUAAUACCGCAUAAUGUCUGCGGACCAAAGCGGGGGACCUCCGGGCCUCGCGCCAUCAGAUGUGCCCAGAUGGGAUUAGCUAGUAGGUGGGGUAACGGCUCACCUAGGCGACGAUCCCUAGCUGGUCUGAGAGGAUGACCAGCCACACUGGAACUGAGACACGGUCCAG